rnacentral:rRNA from 1 species
AGUUGCGAACGGGUGAGUAACGCGUAGGUAACCUGCCUGGUAGCGGGGGAUAACUAUUGGAAACGAUAGCUAAUACCGCAUAAGAGUAGAUGUUGCAUGACAUUUACUUAAAAGGUGCAAUUGCAUCACUACCAGAUGGACCUGCGUUGUAUUAGCUAGUUGGUGGGGUAACGGCUCACCAAGGCGACGAUACAUAGCCGACCUGAGAGGGUGAUCGGCCACACUGGGACUGAGACACGGCCCAGACUCCUACGGGAGGCAGCAGUAGGGAAUCUUCGGCAAUGGACGGAAGUCUGACCGAGCAACGCCGCGUGAGUGAAGAAGGUUUUCGGAUCGUAAAGCUCUGUUGUAAGAGAAGAACGAGUGUGAGAGUGGAAAGUUCACACUGUGACGGUAUCUUACCAGAAAGGGACGGCUAACUACGUGCCAGCAGCCGCGGUAAUACGUAGGUCCCGAGCGUUGUCCGGAUUUAUUGGGCGUAAAGCGAGCGCAGGCGGUUAGAUAAGUCUGAAGUUAAAGGCUGUGGCUUAACCAUAGUACGCUUUGGAAACUGUUUAACUUGAGUGCAAGAGGGGAGAGUGGAAUUCCAUGUGUAGCGGUGAAAUGCGUAGAUAUAUGGAGGAACACCGGUGGCGAAAGCGGCUCUCUGGCUUGUAACUGACGCUGAGGCCCGAAAGCGUGGGGAGCAAACAGGAUUAGA